ensembl:lncRNA
AAAUCAAUUACGCAGUUUAUAAUUGCACACAAUAGAGGGCUUGCAGUUGCGUCACAAACCACCUAGCAACCGCAAUUGGAGCCAUGUUGGAAGACCAAUCAGUCUGUUGGAAGUCCUCCAACUGUCCAAAAGGCUGGCUGUGUUCUGCUAUCACUGGAAACUUCGGGAAGAUUGCCCAUUAUUUUGUUUUUCUAAGGACCCAGAAAACGGAGGCAUUGGGAGAACCUAUUCAAAUAUAGAGAGCCGUGAAACCCUGCCUGCAGCUGAAGAGGUCCCAAUGAAUGUCCCAAAAGAAUAAAAGGAGCCUCCCAAGUGACGUAGCGGUCUAAGGCACUGCAUCGCAGUGCUAGAGGCGUUACUACAGACCCAGAUUUGAUCCCAGGCUGUGUCACAGCCAGCUGCGACCAGGAGACCCAUGAGGUGGCGCACAUGCACAAUUGGCCCAGUGUCAUCCAGGUUAGGGGAGGGUGUCCCAUCACGCGCUAGCAACUCCCUGUGCCAGGCCAGUAUGGUGUUUCCUCCGACACAUUGGUGCGCCUGGCUUCUGGGUUAAGUAAACAGUGUGUCAAGAACAUGUGCAGCAUGGCAGGGUUGUGUUUCGGAGGAUGCUUUCAACCUUCACCUCUCACGAGUCCGUACGGGAGUUGCAGCGAUGGGACAAGACUAACUACCAAUUUGGACAUCACAAAAAAGGGAUAAAAGCGUGCUCUUGGAAACCCAUCUGGAGGCAGAGUGGGUUGAGCGUGGCUAUAUUCCAUCACCAUCACCACAGUUCUUUGGCCGCCACCAUAAAGAAUUCCAACGAGACAAUUUUGUGGUGCGCAGGGCGAGCUGACAGGGAGUGUUAUUAAAGCGCAGGGUGCUGACCGCUCUGAAAGUUAUUAAAGUGCUCUGAGAUUGUGUCUGUGAUCGCCCUGCCGGGGUGUCCUUCACACACACACACACACACACACCCAGCGGUACAUUACAGUGAGGACGUGGUCAUCGCAGAGAGAGGGGGUGUACAGGGGGGAGUACAGACCAGACAGACACAUCAGGGCCCACCG